UACGGGAGGCAGCAGUGGGGAAUUUUGGACAAUGGGGGCAAGCCUGAUCCAGCCAUGCCGCGUGCGGGAAGAAGGCCUUCGGGUUGUAAACCUCUUUCAGCCGGAAAGAAAUCGCUGUUUUUAAUACAGACAGUGGAUGACGGUACCGGAAGAAGAAGCACCGGCUAACUACGUGCCAGCAGCCGCGGUAAUACGUAGGGUGCGAGCGUUAAUCGGAAUUACUGGGCGUAAAGGGUGCGCAGGCGGUUUUGAAGCCAGACGGAUCCCGCAC
rnacentral:rRNA from 1 species